AUCUCAGAGUUGAGUCCCAAAUAGGACGAAAUGCGCGUCCUGGAU
rnacentral:hammerhead_ribozyme from 1 species